rnacentral:tRNA from 1 species
UGGCUGAGCGGUAAAGCGCUUGGCUUCCGAACUGGGGGUCCCGGGUUCGAAUCCUGG